rnacentral:rRNA from 1 species
UACGGAGGGUGAGAGCGUUAAUCGGAAUAACUGGGCGUAAAGGGCACGCAGGCGGGCUUUUAAGUGAGAUGAGAAAUCCCCGGGCUUAACCUGGGAAUAGCAUUUCAGACUGGGAGUCUAGAGUACUUUAGGGAGGGGUAGAAUUCCACGUGUAGCGGUGAAAUGCGUAGAGAUGUGGAGGAAUACCGAAGGUGAAGGCAGCCCCUUGGGAAUGUACUGACGCUCAUGUGCUAAAGCGUGGGGAGCAAACAGG